UGUGAGUGUGAGGUGUUGUACGUCAGUUUGUUGUGACAGCAGACUACGGGAGGCAGACCCAGGCACACUCCUGUCACUGCCACCUCUCCUGCCACACAAUACUCUUCUACCUCCUUCAUAUCGCAAUAUACAAUGCCUCUCCUUGCUUAAAAGAUUGUGUAGAAGAAAUAUUUUUGGGGAUUUUCAAAGCAGUUCCCAAGUGCACAAGGUUCCCCAUGGCAGAAGCAACCUACAAGAUGAAUGAUUGCCAAGGGUCAGAGGAUGAGAACAUCAAUGGUUCCUCACUUCCUUCAGAGGAAGACAAAAAAAGUGUGAAAAAUGGUGUGCUUGGAGUCAAAGUGGUUGAAAAGGAUCAUAUUAAAGCAGAAAAUGGAAAUCAACCAGGGGAUGUAGCUCAGGCAGCAGUGAGUAUGGCAGAUCAAGUCCGAUCUGAGGCUGGGGCCCAAAUGGCAGAUCAAUUCCGAUCUAAGGCUGGCGCCCAGGUGGCAGAUCAAGGUCGCGUGGAAGCUGGGGCCCAACCUUUUGGGGUUGAGGUUAACUCAUUCAACAAAAAUGGACCAGAUUGUUACCCUCUCCAUUGGCUUGUUUGGCACAAUGACUACCGCAGACUAGACGUAGAACUAAAUAAAGGCAAGCAUAAUCAGGAGCUGCGUGACCCAAGAGGACGCACACCUCUUAUGCUAGCUGUUACAUUGGGUCAUUUGGAAUCUACCAGAUCAUUGUUACGCCACCACUGCAAUGUUAACGUAGAGAAUAAUGAUGGUUGGACUGUAUUACAGGAGGCCACAGCAACAGGUGACCCAGAGCUUCUGGGCAUUGUACUGGAGGGGCGUGACAUGCAGCGUUAUUCCUCACGUGUCGCGGGUAUUCCUGGUUUGUUGGCUAAGCUCAAAGAGGCACCAGACUUUUAUGUUGAGAUGAAGUGGGAAUUUACUAGUUGGGUGCCGUUGGUGUCACGCAUGUGUCCGAGUGACACAUAUAGGGUGUAUAAAAGUGGGUCUAGCGUUCGAAUUGAUACUACGCUGAUUGGAUUUGACCAAACGAGUUGGCAGCGUGGGAGCCGUAGCUAUAUCUUCAAGGGGCAGACUGAUGGGGCAACUAUGAUGGAGGUUGACCAUGAGACCGGACAGGUGUACAUGGAAAAUAUGCGAACCUUGCCCCCAGAUCAGGCUCAUUCGUAUCUGCGACCUCAUCCUGGUAUGGUGUCACAUAGGCUAACAACUCCUGUAGCCAUAACAUAUAUUGACACAGAGAAAAUUAGCUUUGAAAGAGAUAAAGCUGGUAUAUGGGGCUGGCGGAGUGACCGAAGUGAAGACGUUAAUGGUCAUGAUUGUAAGGUAUUUUCUGCUAUUAAUGUUGAACUUGUAACAAAGACUCGAACUGAACACUUGACUGAUGCUGACAAAGAGAAGUCAUCCCCCAGAAGUCCAAUCCAGUCCUUCCUUAAUAUUGCAGAAGUAGAGGAGAAACAGAACUCUCCUUCAUCUUCCGAGGAGAGUGAGACUUACUGUCUAAACAACCCCAGCAACAUCACAGCUGAAGAAUAUUUUAAUUCGGAUGUAGACUUACAAGGUCGGGACAUUGGUCGACCCAAGGAAGUCUCGAAGAAAGUGCAAAGUUUUAAGGCCCACCUUUGGCUGGCAGAGGAGUACCCCUUGAAGUUACAGGAGCAAGUGAUGCCCAUUGUAGACCUCAUGGCCAUCAGUUCCUCUCACUUUGCUAAACUCAAGCACUUCAUUCAAAUGCAGCUUCCCAAUGGAUUUCCUGUUAAAAUUGAAAUCCCUCUCUUCCAUGUACUAACAGCAAGAAUCACAUUUGGAAACAUAUUUGGUGUUGAUGAGCAUGUGGACAAUGUGUCCACUGUGAGUGAGGAGGACAGACUAACUUGUGUUAUAGACGAAACUGUGUUUGAACCUCCUGCACACUACACAAAAAUUGGGCAUUCAGAUCAGCAGCACCUGCAAUUGAGCCUUGAUGAAGAUGAUGCUCUUCUGCAAUAUGCCAUCCAGCAGUCCCUAGUAGAGGCUGGUACAGAACAAGAUCAAGUAGACAUAUGGGAGGCACUCCAGGCUGACCACAGACCAACUCUCAAACAGGAGAUGAAUUCCAAACCAGGGUCUCGUCCCAACACUCCAGCACAUCUCUCUCUUCAGACUGCCGAAGAUGCUCAGUUACAAAGGGCCAUAGAAGAAUCCCUUGCUCUCAGCGUUGGGGCAAAUAUUCAACGACCCCCAGGUGCAGGGAUGGCCGAAUGUGGAUUCCAAGCGGAACUUGAAGGGGACAUAGCUGUACCAGGAGAUUUGGCAGUCACCCCAGGAGGCAGUAUACUGGACUCAGAGAUGGCAAUGGCACUCUCACUUUCACAGCGGCACCAAGAAGAGGAGGAAGCUCGUCGAAGGCAGGAAGAAGAAACACUGAAACGUAUCCUUGAGCUAUCUUUAACAGAAAAAUAAUAUUAUUUAUGCUUUAGAAGAAAUACUAAGAAAAAAUACCUACUGCCAUAUUACACAUUAAGAAUAAAUACAGUUUUGCUAUUCUUUUAAUGCAGAUUAGUGUAUGAAGAGAUGAUGAUAAUUUAUUUGUUACUGGUACAUGAAACUGGAUUGAUUAAAACUAAAAAGAAGGAAAAAUUCAUUUUGCUGUAGCAUAUCUUAAGCAACAAUGAGACAAUACUGCAUUACAUAUAAAUGUGAUUACACACUCUGCAGAACCUAGUUUUUUUUUUCUGAACUGACAAAACUUGUGAGGUUUCAAUUUUGGGGGGCCAAUAAUUGAGGGAGUUAAAAAUGUGUGGGGUUUAUAGGUUUUGAACAUGUUCUCUGGCCAGAGACCACAAAGUGAGGUAAGUUGAGAUGAAGUGCAGUAGUUAUUGUGGAUAGACUUUGCUGGCUCAUAGUGCCUCUUCCUAGCAUCUCUGUAUGUCAAGAUUGUUCUUAAAAAAUUUUCAGCACGCAUUAAUGCUUUCUGUAAAGCACAUUUUUUUUAUAACAAAAUUGUAACUGAAAGCGCCUAAUACUUUUAGUUCAAUCCUAUCAACAGUGUAUUAAUAUUUAAUUGAUAUUCUCUAUUCUUGCAGUGGCUAGUAUGGAAUUAGGGUGCUAUUCAUUUUAAAUUGUUCCUUAGAUUGUCAUAGCAUGGUGUUCUUUCUGUUUGGUAAAGUGCAGAUGCAGUAUAAAUGAUCUGCUUUUAAGUUAAAUAAGUCAACUCUGCAAAAUAGCCUUAACUCAUGUCACUCAUUUUUCUUUGCUCCUUUCCUUUGAUGAGGAAUUUGUUGUCCUCCCAGUUGGUGUAUCAUCUUCCUCUAUCCUCCAAACUUAAAUUAGUGGCUAUUCCAAGGGCUUUUACAAACCAGUCCAUGGUGUUGGUCACAUGGACACAAAUUCACAGAUUACAGGAAAUACAAUUGGUAUACUGUAUAUAUCUCCUUCUCGGGAUAUAUAUAUAUAUUAGAAUCGGUUAGGUUAUUACAGCAGACUAAUAGGUAAAGUCCUGACAGUUGAAGCAGUUCAGUACUUUCUCAGAGGAGAUUAUAUCCCAGAAGCUGUGGGUUACCAGUUCAGUACUGUAACUACCAUAAUGCUGCCAUAUGCACUAUGCAUGUACAUAUAGUUGUUUUCCCGUGAAAAAGAAUCAAAUUGUCUGCAAAUGUAAUAAUUUUGUGAUGACUGUGUCAUGUAAGUAUGCCCUUCAGCUUGAGCCUUCUUUGUGCAGUAAAUAUGACUCAGAUUUUGAAUUCAGUACCUUUAGGAAAACUUAUAAUAUUUUUCUUAGAGAAAUCUUUUACAUCAAUCAGUACAAGUUAUUUAUAUUAUAUUCUCAAAUUGGUAUAUUGCAAUAGAUACAAAAGAGUUUCAGGAUGUGAAAUCAAAUUUAACCUUGAAAAACCUUGAAAAUUUUAUUUUUCAUAUGCAUAAGUUACUCGAUUGUGUAUGAGGUGGGUACUGUACAGUACAAAUUUUUCACUGUAGAUAAUGGCUCAGAGUAAAACUUGGUCUAGGGUAGCAUAUGGAAGGUAUUGAGUAUUUGAAAAAUGGAUUUGGUGUAUUUUUUAUUCUUUGUUCAUUUGGCCAGAAAUAUUUUAGGCAAUACAGCCUUGAGCUUAUUAUUUCAGUUUCAUCUGUUGGGUUGUCAUCCUUAUUAUCCUUGCUAUAGGCAGCAAGGUAUUGUGUUGCAUAUACAGUAUUUUUUUUUUUUUAUACAUUUUAUACCCCCAUAUAGGCUAUAUUAUAUAAGCAGAUUUUAUAUUAAUCAGAAAUCAUGUGAUAAUAAUGAUGUACUCAUUACAGCAGUCCUCCAUAUGCCUGAAUUCCCAAGAUAUCUGUGACACAAGCAAAUAAGCUUUUUAAUUUCAGAAACCCACUUACAUAAGCUUGGUGCUGGCUCUCGGUACAAAUUUACUUGGCAAGUCAACAAGCAGCUGGUGUUGCUGGGAGUUCUCAUACAUCUGGCAGCAGUUUUUACUAUCGUGGCUGUCACACUCGGCUCCAUUCAAGCCUCGUACCCCGAAAAUAUCUCCAUGUGAUGACCCAUAUGAUAAGGAAUUUUGUUUUUUAUAUGUAAUGUACCUGUGUAUACUGUAUAUUUAUUUAAAGAAACUUGGAUAAAGUAUUCAGGAUUAUUUGGGUAAAAAAUGGUGUUUCUAACUUAAUUAGAAGUGAUUUUAUAGAGUCCGGUAAAAACAUUUUGUACAUUUUUUCAUAAGGGAAUUGAGUUCCUAUAUUUUAUGUCUCAAUAUAUAUUUUUAAGUAUCUUUAUUGAAACACCCUUGUAGAGAAUUUGUUCGGGAUCAUUAUGGUACUAAAUUCAUCUUUCAAACACAAUUAGAACAGAUUCUGUGGAUAAAAGUUUAUAAACUUUUUUGGUCGGCAUAAAUAUUUGUACUCAUGGCUGUGGCAUAAUAUAAUGGGAGUGAUAAUAGAAUUGUACAAAGUAGAAAAGUGUUUCAUGUGAUAUACAUUAUUAUUGCUCUAUAAUAUGCUUACUAUAAAAAAUAGAAGUACAUAGUACAUGUUAAUAAUAAAUUACUGUACAGUACUUAUUAAUUAUUAACUUACUAUGAGGCAGUUGAGGCAGGAAGUGAUUGUACAACACUCACAAUGUAUGUUACCAAAGGUGGAGAGCAGGUUAUGUUUUCACUACUAAUUUCAUUAACUGUACAGUAUGUACUGUGCACAAUUUAUAUAUUUUAGACACUUCACUUUAGUGCUUCUCAGCAACCACCUGCACCACAGUGGCAGUGCCCGCUUACAUCAACUUUCCCUCAUACAGUAGGCUCUCAUAUUUGAACACCUAUUUAGACUAAAAACCUUGCGAAAUUCAAAUCAUCCAAAUUUAAAUACGACUUUCUAUGGAGAAAAUUUAUUUGAGUCUGUUACUUUCGAUGUUUGGCUAAAUUUUGCCUUAUUUACCCUACUUUUGGGGUGAAUUACUACCUGUAUUAAAGCAACAUCCUAAUAAACCAACAAAAAUAACACAGAUAAAGUUAAAUAAAAACUAAAAGCAACACAGAAAAAGUUUAUUAAAGAAAAAAACACAAACCGAAAACACAGCAAUGAUGGGCUUGGGUGGAUGGUGGGUUGAUUCCGAGGCUAGAGGUGGGUUAGUUGGAUGAGGGCCCAUCCUGGGCCACAUCCAAAAAUCCUUCAAAGUUUAAGUCAUUCUCGAGUGAUUCAACAUCUGCCGUUGCAGCAUCCUCGGCCCCAUCUGCUACGCGAAUGUUCUGGAUUGCGUCGGCUACAUCCUGGCGACGUCGGAAGAAUCCUGUUAUCUCAGACUGUUGUUUUUCCCUGAUUUGCAGUUGUAAAUAUCCAUGGGAAUAUCAUUGAGACUCUCAAGGUGGGGCAAUGCAUUUUGUAGUUAAGGGGCAUCUUGAGUUAAUUUCUGAAGUGAUUCUUUCAUGUCACUUCACUCUGCGGGAAUCUUUGCCAGCUUGGCAGUGGUCAAUUUUUCAAUCACGUCCAGUUGUCCUUCUUCGUCUGAACUAGAAUCAGAAUCAUUUGCAAGCAUCUCAAUUAUGUUUUCCUCAUAAUUAAAAGUCACAAGGUUCGUAACAGUGUCCUCAAUGACCUCAGUAAAUUCACCACCUACACGCCUUACUGAUACAACUGUGUCUGCUAACAGUGAAAUGUUGUCUAGCUGCUGUGCUCCUGAGGCACCUCCACACUCGACCUUGAGAUGAGGGAAGAGUGGUGUCCAAACGUGUGUGACUAUUGGAACAUUGAUCUCAUGCCAUGAAUCAACCAUUUUUGUGAACAGCAUUGCGAAUAUUAAAUUUUUUCCAAAAUUGCUUAACAGUUAGGAUAUGGGCAGGGGUGGAAGACGGUCCUUGGGUGGAAGACGGUCCUUGGGUGGCAGAAGAUGGUCCAGGUGUGACAGACUCGUUCUCAUCUUCACUCUCAAUAUCACUAACUGCAGCAAUUUGUAGCAGUUCAACUUGGCUGUCAGUUUCAUGGCGCAUUUGGUAGUGAACGGUGCGGUAGUACAUGAGCUUAACAUUGGCUAUCAGUUCUUGAUCCAGCGGCUGUAUCUUUGAAGUUGUGUCCGCUGGAAGGAAGCACAUUUGUACGUUGGGGUGGAAGUCUACCAAAUACCUAGCAUGACCAGGCGCAUUGUCCAUGAAUAACAACACCUUCAAAUCUAGAUUCUUAUGCCUACAAUGUGCCCUUGCAUCAGGGAUAAAAUACUUCUCAAACCACUUCUUUGACAGAUUUUUGUCCAUGUAACCUUUGGCAGUCUUCUCCCAAUACACAUUAAGCUUAUUCAUAUCUUGAUUCCUGUGCGCAUGUGAACCAGACGCAUUGCAAGUGAAUAACACACUGAAUCUAUCCCUUGCAAGUGUGGUGCCUUUUGCUUGUUUCUCUGUUUUGUGCAUGUACGUGGUAGUAGCAAACAUACCAACAAUUAUCAUACCCUAUUUCCCACCUCAAUAAAUUCCUCUUCCUUUUCUUUCUGCUCUCUCUAUUUUGGGAGUGACUGCUAUGAUUUCCACCUUGUUGAAAGGAACACCAUCAUAGAACAGAUCUGGUAAGGCAGCUAGAAUAAAUGUAUGGCAGCCUGUGAGGAAGAUUCUGUGUUUAAUCCUGUCACACACCUGUACUAUAGCAAGAAGGACUUAGAAGAGUAAAUAAAAUAGCAGACCAGUUUACUCAUUUGGAAUGCUGUAAGAAUUGUUGAACCUGUUAAUGUUAUAUAAAAGUUAACAAUUGUUUUAAGUAGAGCUAUUUACUGCCUCUUAUCUUUGUAUGUCUCCCUAUUUACAGUUUAUUGAUAUCUCUGUCUUACCAACAAAACCAGGCCUGAGAAGAAACUUAAAUGUGGCUAUUUAUCCACAACUUAUUUCGUGUAGUACAGUAAUUCUUAAAGAGGAGUGGAGUAGUUUUAUAAAACUAGAAUUAUAUACAAAACUGUCAUAUACGGUAUUUAGAUGCGUAUAGAAUAUAAAUGUAAAGAAUAGAUAUUUUGGGAAGUAGAACAAUAAUACUAAAUAUAGUAUGGCUGAAUAUGCAAAGUAUUCUGAAAGAGGUUAUAUUGGUAGUAUAGUAUUUUAAAUUGUGACUAAGAACUGUUGAAAGAAUAAUGCAAAUACUGCACAAUAGGGAAGUGCAUACAGCAUAGGCUCAUAGAGGGUUGUAGGAAAGAAUGGCGCAUUAUACUACGUGAUGUCACAGAAAAAUUCUAACCAAUUAUAUUGUUUCUCACUUUUUUCCUAUGCCACUCCUCUGCAAGGGUCUCUAGAUAUGGCAGAUAUCUGUGUAUAUAUUUGCAUGUGCGUAUGAUUCUUGGGGGCAUGAUAGCUCACAUACAUAGUAAUCAAUUUUAACCUAACAUAAUACUGUAUGUAGAUGCCUAUACUGUAUAUCUUAACAGGAUUUCAUUGAGUUCUAUUUUUUGUAUAUUCUCUUACUGUGUAUUUUCCGGAGUUCUUGCCUCUUGGACAUUGCAGCCGUUAGGGUGUAUGGUCGUUUCCAGUUGCACACAUUAUACUGUAAUGGCAGACCCUUAGGAAAAGAGGGUAGCUAAAGUUUAAAGCUGGUUGACGAGCUCACAGUACGGUAGAAUAUAAGAAAUCUGUAUUUCUAGAAACUACAAAUAUAAACUUCCCAAAGCUGUGUUUCCUGGUACUGUAUAUUCAAGAAUUGCUUGCUCUAUUUUCCUUGUUCUGUUAUAGCCCAUACUACCACAUAGUCAUUCUCUCAACCUGAAUUAUUGUCAGUAAGCCUCCAUGGUUUUCACAGUUGUUACUGAUACAUUGCUCUAAUAUCUUUACCUAUUAUACAUACAAAAAAGCAUAUUAGUGAUAGUUCUAAGUUUAAUAUGCAAGGAGGAAUUAAAUUACACUGCUAAAAUAUAGAAAAGAAGAUAUAUUGUAUGUAGAAUGUUAAAAUCUUUCAAAAAUCACUUAUGGAUGACAUGACAACAGUAUAUACAGUAUUUAGUAUGAAAAGUUGUUCAAAUUCUACACUGAAAAUGAAUUUGAUAAAGCCAUUGCCAAUCAUAAAUCAGUGCAUGAAGCUUGAUAAGCUGACCUUAGUAAACUUAAGUUUUGUCUCGGUUGUUUAAGCAUACAGGUACUUUUGGGGAGUAGAAACAAAGAAUUAUUUUGGUAAGAACUUUAUAGUACAAUAAUUGCAAUGACUGUAUUUUACAUCCAGUAUUUUAUAAAUUAUAUACAAAUAUUCAUAUGUACAGUGCUACAGUAUUAAAAACAAAUAUCAUUAAGAACCGUCAAAAGGUAUAUAAAACAUUGUAAGGCAUACAAUGUGGAAACAACACUGUGGCUCAAAAUUCUAAAAUCUGUGAAAAUCCCAACUCUGCACAUUGCUUGGUCUUAAGGAUUUUGGAUAUUCAAUUGUAUUUAAAAAGAAAUUCAUUCAUAUGAAAAUGGAUAUUGGGAAGCAACCAAUAAAAACAUUUUCAGAAUUUCUUACUUCGUGUAGUUAUCUUGUCAUUUAUUUACCAGCUCACAAGCUAUUUUGAUGUUUGUCACUUUUCCAACUCUCCAUCUUGAGAAGACCAUGUAGAAUUAGAAGAAAAAAUAAAUUAUAAGAACUUUCUGAAGGUAGUUGUGAAUUAGGGACAAAAGAUUAUGAAGUGCAGCUGGUUUGGACGAAUGGAAAAGAUAAACUUAAUGAGUUUUAAAAUAUAAAAUACUUAGGGCUGCACUGUACUGUACUGUACAUGAACACGUAAAUAGAGAUAUGGGUUAUACCAUGGCAAUACAUUUAUACAGUACAGUAAUUAGUUUAAUGUAUAUUUGGUAGUUAUAUGAAAUGUCCCAUAUUCUUGGAGUUUGGGGAUGGAAUUAUUCCACAUUGACACAAAAAUUACUUGGGAUCAAAUAGCGACACUUUAUUACUACCAAAUGUGGCUGUUUGUUAUUCUAUAGUACUGUGUUUGGUAAAACUUGUGCAAGGAAAUUAUUAAAAUUCUUUGAAGACACCUAUAAAUUGCAUUAACUAGGUGGUAAUUUUCCCAGCAGUGAUAGAAGUUUGCUGACGAUAGACAAUAAAUAUUCUCUGCUCAAUAGAAAUUCCUUCAGUUACAAUAAUCUGUGUAUUUAUGUAACCAUGAAUGCUUAGUGUCAAAACUGCCUAGUACUCUGCUGCAAAUUAUCCUGUUGCAGAUGCCAGCUUGUAAAUGUACCCUAGCCUGUGCACUAGAGUAUCUUAGUGCAGCUGUUGUGUGCUGUUGUCUUUUAGGACCCCAUCUGAUGUCAACUGCUUCUAUAUUGUGUCACAUCUGUGUCUGUUAAGGUCUCUAUCUGAUGUUAAAUGCAUCUGCAUGCUAUUACAUCUUUCUUUGUACAAGCUAAAGUUAUCAGCUGACGAGACAUGCUUUUGCAUUCUGUCACAUCAGGCAUUUGGAUACUGACAGUGUCUUUUAUUAUAUUUAUGUAGCUCCAAACCCUGCCAUAUGGUAUCAUUUGGGGUCCACUCAUCCUUUGAACAAUUCAUUCGCUCAUAGUUAUUAUAUGCUACCACCUGACCCUGUUGAAUAUGGUAUCUAUUCUAUUAUAUACAGGUAUGUAUAAUUAUUAUUUUACAUCAUAUUUCAUCCCAACCCUUUUAUAGUCAUAUGAUGCUCAAUCAUGUAUCAUUUCAAAUUUUGCCUUGUAUUAAUCCUUUCCAAUUCUUCAUCAUCUAUAUCAGUUCAGUGUAUUGUAUAUAUUUGCAUAGCUUGCUUCAUAGAUCAGGUUCCUCAAUAAAGUCAACAUCUGUGAUUUAACAUUACGUACUGUAUAUGCUCAGAUGCUCUUCAUGAACAGAAAAUUGAUUUGUUGUUUCCAUGCUUAUUAGACUAAAUUCAAUGGAUUUGAAAAAAUCUGAAUAAUGUAAUUCUGAAUGGAAAUGUAUCUACAAUAUCUGGAAGUUAAUCUGCCACUCUUAUGAUACAGUAUCUGUAAUGUGCCAGUUUUGGUCUGUUUGUUGAUGUUGGCAGGUGACUUAAGGUUUUUACCACGUUCCAUAACAAUGAAGUUCUAAAGUUUUUCUUGAAAAGUAGUCAUUGUAGUCUUGCUUAUAGACAUAUGCCCAUAGAAUUUUACCAUUUUUAAUCAAGUGUAAUACUGUACAGUAUAAGCAUGCAAAUACUUAUGGUGUACCAUAUGAUAAGUGAACUUCUUAUUUCUCAUAUCACACUUUUAUACUGGGUGUUUAUAUUAUGCAGUGAAAAUGUAUGCUAAAGGUUUUGAUAUGUUAUCAAAUAAUUUUUUUCUUGAGUGCAGUAUAUUUUUUUGAAGUAUGUUGGCUGCGUCAAGAGGUACUCGUGUAGUUUGUCCAUCUUGUAGAUAAGACCAUAUAUACUUACUGUUCUGUAAUACUAACCCAGUAAAUAUAGAAAUACUGUAUAAUUUCAGUACUCAUCCUGCUCGUAUCAUCACGAGGGACGUUGUACUUGGGAAUCAUCAUCAUAUAUGUAAAACCUAUUUUUGUACACAAGGAUGGACACCUCUUUUGGAAAUCCAUAUGCCUAUGGAUAAUACAUGUUGUUGCAUUGGUCUGCAGCAUUUAUGGUUAAAAUGUAUGGUAAUAUAUAAUCUUUUUUUACAUUUAAUUUAAAAGCCUGUUAGGAAAGCAUAAGGGGUCAAAGUACUUAAUAAAUUGCAAUUCGUAAGGUAUAUUGUGAUUCAUGGUAAAGCAAGUGAUAACAUUGUCUUGAGAUACCUCAGUUUUAUACACAAGUAUAGAAAAAAUGAAUGACCACGAUGAAAGCAAUAUAUGCAAUAUAGUAUAAAGUAUUCCUUGAGAGGUAGCUAUGAGUAUUACUUAAGUCCAGAAGAAAAUAUUCAAAGGAAGUUAUUUUGUGUUUCAUGCUCUAGUUCAUAAAUGAUAGCAUGGGCAUGUAAGUGGACAUUAUGUUUCUUUGUUCAAGAAAUGUUAAAGAUGGAGAAGUAAGUUGCAGGUGAUAACUUAUUUAUUUGGUAAAAAAAAAAAAAAAUUUACACUGUGUUACUAAAUGAUAUUACAUAUUGAUUCUUAUUUAAACCUUCCACUGCUUGUACUUGCUCAUGUUCUAGAGCAAUGUAAGUGAUCAGUUACAGUAUAUGUACUUCUAAGAGACAUACUUUGAGCAAGAGUUGUGUACAGAAAAGAGUGUGACAAUAUGAAAGUAUUGAAUCAUAAAUUAUUCGCAGUUGCCUUGAAAUAAAGCAUCUACUGCCAAAUAUACUCCACCUUCAUA
rnacentral:misc_RNA from 1 species